rnacentral:tRNA from 1 species
ACCAGGAUGGCCGAGUGGUUAAGGCGUUGGACUUAAGAUCCAAUGGACGUAUGUCCGCGUGGGUUCGAACCCUACUUCUGGUA